rnacentral:rRNA from 1 species
CCUACGGGAGGCUGCAGUGGGGAAUUUUGGACAAUGGGCGCAAGCCUGAUCCAGCUAUUCCGCGUGUGGGAAGACGGCCUUCGGGUUGUAAACCACUUUUGUAGAGAACGAAAAGUCUGUUGAUAAUACCGAUAGAUGAUGACGGUACUCUAAGAAUAAGCACCGGCUAACUCCGUGCCAGCAGCCGCGGUAAUACGUAGGGUGCGAGCGUUAAUCGGAAUUACUGGGCGUAAAGGGUGUGCAGGCGGGUUUGCAAGAUGGAUGUGAAAGCCCCGGGCUUAACCUGGGAAAGCCAUACAUGACUGGAAGACUAGAGUGCGUCAGAGGGGGGUGGAAUUCCAAGUGUAGCAGUGAAAUGCGUAGAUAUUUGGAAGAACACCGAUGGCGAAGGCAGCCCCCUGGGACGCAACUGACGCUCAGGCACGAAAGCGUGGGGAGCAAACAGGAUUAGAUACCCGGGUAGUC